UCCUAACCGACGUGCGUCUGUGGA
rnacentral:piRNA from 1 species